AAGGAGAGGGCACUUUU
rnacentral:sRNA from 1 species